rnacentral:rRNA from 1 species
UACCAGCACCCCGAGUGGUCGGGACGAUUAUUGGGCCUAAAGCAUCCGUAGCCGGUUUUACAAGUCCCCCGUUAAAUCCAGCUGCUUAACAGAUGGGCUGCGGAGGAUACUAUAAGACUAGGAGGCAGGAGAGGCAAGCGGUACUCAGUGGGUAGGGGUAAAAUCCGUUGAUCCAUUGAAGGCCACCAGUGGCGAAGGCGGCUUGCCAGAAUGCGCUCGACGGUGAGGGAUGAAAGCUGGGGGAGCAAACCGG